rnacentral:rRNA from 1 species
UGGGGAAUAUUGGACAAUGGGCGAAAGCCUGAUCCAGCCAUGCCGCGUGUGUGAAGAAGGUCUUCGGAUUGUAAAGCACUUUAAGUUGGGAGGAAGGGCAGUAAGCGAAUACCUUGCUGUUUUGACGUUACCGACAGAAUAAGCACCGGCUAACUCUGUGCCAGCAGCCGCGGUAAUACAGAGGGUGCAAGCGUUAAUCGGAAUUACUGGGCGUAAAGCGCGCGUAGGUGGUUCGUUAAGUUGAAUGUGAAAGCCCCGGGCUCAACCUGGGAACUGCAUCCAAAACUGGCGGGCUAGAGUAGGGCAGAGGGUGGUGGAAUUUCCUCUGUAGCGUAGGUAUGCGUAGAUAUAGGAAGGAACACCAGUGGAGAAGGCGACCACCUGGGCUCAUACUGACACUGAAGUGCGAAAGAGUGGGGAGCAAACAGG